rfam:Triticum aestivum genome assembly, contig: Triticum_aestivum_CS42_TGACv1_scaffold_501098_6BL
CUUAUACUCACUUCGUUCCGAAUUACUUGUCGCACAUUUGGAUGUAUCUAGAUGUAUUAUAGUUCUAGAUACAUCCAUUUCAGGGACGAGUAAUUUAGAACGGAGGGAGUAGGAA